CCGGCCGGCUUCACCUCAGCUCCGCGGCUGUGAGCGGGGAAAGCGGCGUUCUACGCGCCGCCUGGCCCGCGGCACACACACUGGGGCGCAGAUAGACAAGUGGAAGGUCAA
rnacentral:lncRNA from 1 species